rnacentral:rRNA from 2 species
UUUGGCUGUGCUCGCAAGAGAACCGGAACACAGGUGCUGCAUGGCUGUCGUCAGCUCGUGUCGUGAGAUGUUGGGUUAAGUCCCGCAACGAGCGCAACCCUUGUCAUUAGUUGCUACGAAAGGGCACUCUAAUGAGACUGCCGGUGACAAACCGGAGGAAGGUGGGGAUGACGUCAAGUCCUCAUGGCCCUUAUGGGUAGGGCUUCACACGUCAUACAAUGGUCGGGACAGAGGGUCGCCAACCCGCGAGGGGGAGCCAAUCCCAGAAACCCGAUCGUAGUCCGGAUUGCAGGCUGCAACUCGCCUGCAUGAAGUCGGAAUCGCUAGUAAUCGCGGAUCAGCAUGUCGCGGUGAAUACGUUCCCGGGUCUU